GAUAUGGAAUGGAAAGCAUUAGUCAUGAAAUACUUCAGUGUAAUUAUUGUUUUAUACUUUUCUUUAAGUAAAUGCCAAGCCUUAAUCACUGAUAAGUUAGAAUCGCACGCAUUACUAAAGGCUAAUUCCACAUCAGAGCAGAAAGUAUGGAACAUAAAACUAGACAUUUACUUUUCGAAACCUCUUCCACCAGUGAACAGAAAACCCAUUGGUUCAGAUGUGCGGUUUAAAUGCGAGGCAAUUAUGAAUUUUACGAAAGUUGAAAAGCAUACAAAAAACAAGGAAGGCAUAGAGACCUUGUUGAAGGAAUCUCCCCCUGAUUAUAUCCAACAAACACUCAUGAAAAAUGUUAAAUUUUACUGGUUAAAAGAUAAUCAGGUGAUAGGAGACAACCACAAAGUAAAAGCAUCCACAAAGAUUGAUAUGGCUAAUGGCACAAUUGGUUCCAAUUUAAGGAUUAAAAACAUUGAUAGUUCUGAUGAAGGGAAUUAUACUUGUGUCAUAAAACAAAGCUAUGAGAAGUAUCAGAGCACUUUCCUGAAGGUAGUAAAAAGUUCUGAAGUUACAGAAAAAUCUGAAAUCCCGACAUACCCAUCUUUAUUUGCAAAUAAUGAACUAGAGGUUACUGUGAAGACGACACCUGAUUUGAUUUCUGAAGACAUGAAGUCUCAAAGUAAUGAUGGAAGUACAACCAAUAAUAAUUUUACAGAACCUCGAAAGCUAGAACCUAUUUGUCAGGAGUAUACCGGCAUUGUGUGUGCUACUCACCUCAAAGGUCAGUUUGUUUACAUACCUUAUGACACCACUCAGGCUGCCCUUGAAGACAAACUAUUGAAAGCAAUUCGAGUCACACAAUAUUCAAACGACAUUAGCUCACAAUGUGAAGGCUAUGCUCUGCCCAGUCUUUGCUACUCUACAUUCCCAAUAUGCAGAGAUCCUUUUGAGACUAACAAAAACUUUUUUGAGGAAGCUAAACUUCUCUUUGACUUUCUGUCUACAACAUCUGCACCAUCAAAUGAAGGUGAUAAUUUACCUGACAUAGUGUUUAGCCAUUUGCCCCAAGGCUACAUGCCACAUUUAAAUAAUAAAUUGAGUAAGAAUAUUACACUGGGAAUGUUGAAUUAUCGUAACAAUUCAACAGUGUUGAGAAGGGUCUGUAAACAAGAUUGUGAAAUUUUAGAAAAUGAGCUAUGCCAAACUGAGUAUGCUAUAGCCAAGAGACACCCACACAUAGGCCAACAGCUGACUCUUGAAGAAUGCCAAGACUUGCCUGAAGAAGACCCAGAAUGCCUUAAAAUUGGCAUCGGCCCUGUGAUGGUGUCUGAUGAUGAAUGUUAUUGGGAGAAUGGAAGUGGUUAUUUAGGCAGAGUUAAUGUAGCCAGCAGUGGCUUGGCUUGCAUUGAGUGGUCUAAACAGUUACAUGUGAGAGUGUCAGAUUACCCAGAGCUCUCAGGGCUCCACAGCUACUGCAGAAACCCUGGAGGAAUCAAGUCACAGCCCUGGUGUAUCAUUGAAAAAGAUGGAAAGACAGAAAAACAACUUUGUGAUAUCAACAAAUGUGCACAUAGUUACGAGCCGCCAAAGUUUAACAAAAGUACAAACCACGAUAAAAAAUUCAACUUGGAAUUCUAUUUAAAAAAAAUAAUUAAAGUUUUAAUCGGGACAUCCUAACAUGGUGUCCCGAUUAAAACUGAGCGGGCGCCCUUUUAUCACACUUUUUUCUUUUAUUUUAUUACUUUUAUGUUUUUGCUGUGUGUUUAAUAGUCUUUUAUUAUUUAUAGUUUGUCCUUUUUCUACCUUAGCUUAAAAGCUGGAAAAUUUAAGAUCAGCUACGGGAUAUUAAUUAUUAUUAUUUUGAUUUUUUGUAUGGAAAAAUUACAUUGUUUUGCGUAGGCAAAUACUUAUCUAAUUUGAUUGCAAUCAAUUCAAUCAUUAUCUGGGUUACUUAUCUAAUUCAAUCAUUAUCUGGAUCUGAAAUUUAUUUUAUUUGACUAAAGACAUAUUCGAUAUUAAUAUCAAUUAAAAAAUGCGGUUGAAAACAUGCAAGAAAAAACAUUGAAACAGGUUUUAGGUCAUAUUUUGGAAAAAAAUAAAUAUAAACAAAAACAUCAAUUAAUAAAAAAGUAGGUCACUUAGGGUAAAAUGGGCGAACUUGUAUUCUUAAAAUGACCUUACCUAUACACCCACGAAGUUUGUCUAACCUUCCGCCAAACACCCUGUAUACUGUGGUUUUGACUUGGCUAUCUCUUUCGUUAAAAUCCCCGUGGCGGGGAAUCCCCGGGACCCCAUCCCGCUUGUGUCGCAACUCGCACGCAUCGCAUCGGGUUGCGUUCAUAAACUCACUCAUAGUCAUAAAAAUUUUGUAUUACAAACUCGGCGCCUCUACGGUUCAAAAUAACUAUACUUUAUUUGAGGUUCAAAAGAAACGGCGGCGUUUUACGUUGAGCUCGUAAGUAAUGUAAACUAAAACCCUAUGCGCUUAGGUUUUAUUAAUCUAAGCCUAAGCGUAAAAAUGAAACCAUACACUUGAAUCAUAAUAAACAUAUAAAUAUUGAGAGACUUGUUUAAUAAGCAUAAUAUUUGUUUUGUUGUGUACAAGGCUUAUGUUGCGCAUACUGUACCUACUUACUUAUCGAUACUCCAUUUAACCCGGCAUCAUUGAGGCAGGGUCAAUAUGACCCUGCAAGUUUUGCAUACGAAAAUUUGCUUAGAAGUAAUUGCCGCACACAACCGUCUGACUCAGUAGCUGCAGCAAAGGAUCACCCCUCCCCUUCACGUACCUCACUUCAGUCGUCCGUCGCCCGCGCAAGGAGCAACACGUAUGUAAACGUGCGACCGGGUAAUUAUGACCCAGCUCAACGGUGACGUUGCUGUUUUGUGCCAUAUUUUUUUAAUGUUUUAUUUAGUUUUACUUAUUUACGAUACUUUAUUUUCCGAUACUUGUCUAAUAUGGACCCGGAAGAACGUGAGCGUCGUCGAAUCUUGGCGAUACUGGAAGAAUCCUCAGAUAGUGAUGAAAAUGAACCUUAUGCAUCUGAUUUGGAAAAUGAAGAUCAUGUUAGUGUUCGUAGCCAGGAAAGUGGUACCGACCAAGAAAGUGCAACAAUUACGUCAAUCCAGUUUUUUGAAUGUAAUGGCUCCAAAUGACGACAAUUCCGAAUCGUCAGACCUCGAGGUACGAGAUCCCUUUUAUAGCGGGAAAGAUGGUACUAAAUGGUAUAAAAUUCUAAUGAUAGAGAGCAUAGGUAGUAUAGAUUUGAUUUAAGUAUUAUUUUCGUUAGAAAAGAUAUUGCUUUUUGAUGAUUAAAAAAAAUAAGAAAAGAGUCACAGUUUUGUUGUAUAAUUAAUAGUGUAUAAGAAAAAUGAAAAAUAAAAAUUAUUGCAUACAUUA